UACGUAGGUGACAAGCGUUGUCCGGAUUUAUUGGGCGUAAAGAGCUCGUAGGCGGCUUGUCGCGUCGACUGUGAAAACCCGCGGCUCAACUGCGGGCCUGCAGCCGAUACGGGCAGGCUAGAGUUCGGUAGGGGAGACUGGAAUUCCUGGUGUAGCGGUGAAAUGCGCAGAUAUCAGGAGGAACACCGAUUGCGAAGGCAGCUCGCUGGGACGUCACUGACGCUGAGACGCGAAAGCGUGGGGAGCAAACAGG
rnacentral:rRNA from 1 species